UACGUAGGGUGCGAGCGUUGUCCGGAAUUAUUGGGCGUAAAGGGCUCGUAGGCGGUCUGUCACGUCGGGAGUGAAAACUCGGGGCUCAACCCCGAGCCUGCUUCCGAUACGGGCAGACUAGAGGUAUGCAGGGGAGAAUGGAAUUCCUGGUGUAGCGGUGAAAUGCGCAGAUAUCAGGAGGAACACCGGUGGCGAAGGCGGUUCUCUGGGCAUUACCUGGCGCUGAGGAGCGAAAGUGUGGGGAGCGAACAGG
rnacentral:rRNA from 1 species